rnacentral:rRNA from 1 species
GGACAACCUACCCUAUGGAGGGGGAUAACCCCGGGAAACUGGGGAUAAUACCCCAUAGACUACGGAUGCUGGAAUGCUCUGUAGCCAAAAGGUCAGCCGCCAUAGGAUGGGUCUGCGGCCGAUUAGGUAGUUGUUGGGGUAACGGCCCAACAAGCCUGUAAUCGGUACGGGUUGUGGGAGCAAGAGCCCGGAGAUGGAUUCUGAGACACGAAUCCAGGCCCUACGGGGCGCAGCAGGCGCGAAAACUUUACAAUGCGGGAAACCGUGAUAAGGGAACUCCGAGUGCCCGUUAAAUCGGGCUGUCCAUCUGUGUAAAUAACAGGUGAAGAAAGGGCCGGGCAAGACCGGUGCCAGCCGCCGCGGUAAUACCGGCGGCUCGAGUGGUGGCCACUAUUACUGGGCUUAAAGCGUUCGUAGCUGGUUUGUUAAGUCUCUGGGGAAAUCUUCCGGCUUAACCGGAAGGCGUCUCAGGGAUACUGGCAGACUAGGGACCGGAAGAGGUGAGGGGUACUCCAGGGGUAGGAGUGAAAUCCUGUAAUCCUUGGGGGACCACCUGUGGCGAAGGCGCCUCACCAGGACGGCUCCGACAGUGAGGGACGAAAGCUGGGGGAGCAAACCGGAUUAGAUACCCGGGUAGUCCCAGCCGUAAACGAUGUGCGUUAGGUGUAUCGGUGACCACGAGUCACCGAGGUGCCGAAGAGAAAUCGUGAAACGUACCGCCUGGGAAGUACGGUCGCAAGGCUGAAACUUAAAGGAAUUGGCGGGGGAGCA